rnacentral:rRNA from 1 species
CGAGCGGUAACAGAUCUAGCUUGCUAGAUGCUGACGAGCGGCGGACGGGUGAGUAAUGCAUAGGAAUCUGCCCGGUAGUGGGGGAUAACCUGGGGAAACCCAGGCUAAUACCGCAUACGUCCUACGGGAGAAAGGGGGCUUCGGCUCCCGCUAUUGGAUGAGCCUAUGUCGGAUUAGCUAGUUGGUGAGGUAAAGGCUCACCAAGGCAACGAUCCGUAGCUGGUCUGAGAGGAUGAUCAGCCACAUCGGGACUGAGACACGGCCCGAACUCCUACGGGAGGCAGCAGUGGGGAAUAUUGGACAAUGGGGGCAACCCUGAUCCAGCCAUGCCGCGUGUGUGAAGAAGGCCCUCGGGUUGUAAAGCACUUUCAGCGAGGAAGAACGCCUAGCGGUUAAUACCCGUUAGGAAAGACAUCACUCGCAGAAGAAGCACCGGCUAACUCCGUGCCAGCAGCCGCGGUAAUACGGAGGGUGCAAGCGUUAAUCGGAAUUACUGGGCGUAAAGCGCGCGUAGGUGGCUUGAUAAGCCGGUUGUGAAAGCCCCGGGCUCAACCUGGGAACGGCAUCCGGAACUGUCAGGCUAGAGUGCAGGAGAGGAAGGUAGAAUUCCCGGUGUAGCGGUGAAAUGCGUAGAGAUCGGGAGGAAUACCAGUGGCGAAGGCGGCCUUCUGGACUGACACUGACACUGAGGUGCGAAAGCGUGGGUAGCAAACAGGAUUAGAUACCCUGGUAGUCCACGCCGUAAACGAUGUCGACCAGCCGUUGGGUGCCUAGAGCACUUUGUGGCGAAGUUAACGCGA